CCUAGGGGGAGCUGUCAGGAGGAGGACACUCUCGCUGCUGCUCUGUUCACUGACCAUGUUGAAUGGCUCAGGACAAGAUUCUCAAUACACAACCACAAAUCACUCUCUGGGGAGGCACCUGCAAGCCACCAGACUGUGAGAAUACAUUUCACUGAGAAGGAAUAUUGAAGGUGGCAACACGGCUAGUGAGCAGACCCACCUUCACGUCACUGGACCUUGCCUGUUUCAUCUGGAACUAAAGCAAGUUGUACCAUUCAAGUCUUAGAUCAGCACAACUGACGGAAACAAACAAAACCCUUCCUGACAGCUCUAAAGCCUUUUCGUGUCUGAGGAGGGAUCUUGGGAGUUUGCCCAUGUAAUCUAUUGUGGACUUGGAGAAGGCCUAUGAUGGUUCCUUUUGGGGGUACUUUUGGAGUAUGGGAUACCGGGGUCGUUGGUACGAGCCAUCCGUUCCUUGUAUAACUGGAGAUCUCAAGGCAUCCUGCUGUUGGUCUAUGAUGUGGUUGUGAUGUCCAGCACACACUGGGGCAUUUUGCAGCUGAACGUGAAGUGGCAGGGAGGAGAGUUAGCGCCUCCAAGUCUGAGGCCAUGUUGCUGUGCUGGAAAACGGUGAACUGCUCCCUCUGGGUUGGGAGUGAGUUGCUGCCCCAAGUGAAGGAGUUUAAGUAUCUCUAGU